GCUGGGCAUGGUGGCACGUGCCUGUAGUCCUAGCUAUUUGGGAAGCUGAGGUAGGAGGAUUGCUUGAGCCCAGGAGUUUGUAGUUACAGUGAGCUAUGAUCACGCCACUGCAUGCCAGCCUGGGCAACAGAGUGAGACCCUGUCUCUU
ensembl:misc_RNA Metazoa_SRP Metazoan signal recognition particle RNA